rnacentral:lncRNA from 1 species
GGUAGAGUGCUUGCCUAUGAUAUGCAAGGACUCAGGUUGGAGCCCCAGUGCUGAAAGAAUCAGGAAAUUAAGUCAUGAAGUGGUGCCUGGGCAGAUAGAGGCCUUAGGAGGAAACUGCAUGUUUUGAGGGACAGAGCUGGGUCAGCAGAGUGUUUCCACACAAAUGAACUGACUUCUGCAUUGAGAACGUGAAUCAACAGAUCCCACAAGGUCAGUGUUCCCAGGCUCCCAAGUCCUUGAGGAAUUCUGGAAGGAAGCUGUUUAUAGUCGUUUUUCUAAGGAAGAAAUUGGAGAGUUGAGAUAUAUGCUUUCUCCUGCCAUCUUCAUGGCCUUCAUGGCCUGCUUCAGGACUCAGUGGGAAAUUCAAAAGGCCAGGAACUCUUGCCUAUGGAGUGAUACCACUCACGUUGGGCAGUAUCUAUUAACAAUCAAGACAAUCAAGACAAAUACCCCAUCGACAUGCUCAUAGCCCAAUCUGAUCUGGGCAGCCCUUCAGUUGAGACGUCCUAGGGUCCUUGUGAUGAGAUGGGAAGUGGAGGCACAGAAUCCUUGGAAGCUCCUAGGUCGGCCAGUCUGACACACAGCGGGGAACAAGAGACCCUGUCUUAAACAUGGUGGAAGGUGGAGCUUAUAGUCAUGCAAUUUUGUAAAAUGAACGUACAGAACCUAACAAGGCUUUAAUCUGGGCUACACCUUCUGCUGGAGACAAUAUAAGGACAUUGGAAGAAGGGAGUCUAGCUCUUGCUCCUGCUCCUUCGCCUGCUUGCUACGUGAGACUGAGUAACUGCUAGAUCCUUGGACUUCCAUUCACAGCUGCGACUGAACAAUUGUUGGGAAUUGGGCUGCCGACUGUAAAUUGCUUAUAUUUAUGUCUUUCAAGAACCUGCUUCCAGGGGAAUUCAAAGUAGGAUAUUGGAGCAGUCAACUCAGUUGCCCAGGACUACAUGGCUGGAAUAAAUUUAUAUCAGUUUCCCCAAGACAAAACCUCAUGGGAGAGGCAGUUGGUUUCUCUGGCCUUUCUACCCUUAAGAGGUCUUCAGCAAAGCCCUUGCCUUGUGGGAUUUCUGAGUUUAAUUCUGAGUUAAAACCCUUCAGUCUUGGGAUAGAGAGAUGGCUCAGUGGUUAAGAGCACUGGCUUCUCUUCCAGAGGGCCUGGGUUCAAUUUCCAGCACCCACAUGGUAGUUUACAGCUGUCUGUAGCUCCAAUUCCUAAGGAUUUGACACCCUCACACAGGCACCAAUGUGCAUAUAAAUAAAACAACAACAAAACCCUUUGGUCUCCAGAGAAGAAACUCAUGGAAAACAAAGCGGCCCAUUAGCAUUAGCAUUCAGAAAUGCAGAGAAGAGCAAAGUCAUGUCCAGGCAGGGCUGCCAACCACAAAAGGCACACCCAGCACUGCCCUCUGAGUGUUGGGUGCCACUUGCUACAAAUCCUGGUUUGGCUGCUGACUCGAUGGAGGUGUGAAGCCUUGGACGAGCCUGGUGUGAAGCCCUGGGUGAUCUUGUUACCCUUCUCUAUCAGUUACCUAAUCUUAAAGCCGAUGAAAUUACAGUGCCGGCUGCAUCUCUGCUGGGAAGCCGCUCUACGUUGGGGCCUUGUCAGAGCAUUGAUCUCCUCCCGGAAGUGAAGCAUGUCGGGAAACUGAGACUCAUAAAGGCCGGGCUUGCCUAGAUAUCUGAGGCCUUGAUCUGAGGCCUUGAGGUCCAGCUUGCCUCCCAUACCCUGGGUACUUCAUCCCUAAAUUGGUUUUACAGUUUGUGAGCUCCCAUUCUGCCACAGUGUCUGAAACUAAAUUAUGUACUAGCCAUUUCAGUAACUUUUCGAAGUAUGAAAACCUCAUAUGCUUGGGCAGAUAUGGUUACAGAAUUCUGAUAUGAGAAAGUUUUAUUCAGACUACGAUUGAAUCAAUGUGUUGUCAUGGAUGAGUUGGUUAUUCAAGAUCUAAUCAGUAGUAGUGUGAGUUCCCGGAUGCAAGGUCAACGAGCAAGGAGAACUGUCGCAAACACGCCUGCUCAGACUCCAGGCCUGUGUGCGUUGUGGACUGCCGUGCUUUUGGUUUUUACUGUUAUAGAAACACAGCAGUUUAAGUACAGAAAACAAAGACACUUAAUAUUUUCCUACUGAUACUCCUUGGCAUUAAAUUAGUAUACGUUUGGAUUAUAUUGUGUCAAGUGCUUGAUUUUAAAAAUUGCCAUUUGAGUGACUCACUCAAGUGUCAUUAAAAAGC